rnacentral:rRNA from 1 species
GCUACUUCGGCGUCGAGCGGCGGACGGGUGAGUAAUGCUUGGGAAUUUGCCCAGUCGAGGGGGAUAACUAUUGGAAACGAUAGCUAAUACCGCAUACGCCCUACGGGGGAAAGGAGGGGAUUCUUCGGAACCUUUCGCGAUUGGAUAAGCCCAAGUGAGAUUAGCUAGUUGGUGAGGUAAUGGCUCACCAAGGCGACGAUCUCUAGCUGGUCUGAGAGGAUGAUCAGCCACACUGGAACUGAGACACGGUCCAGACUCCUACGGGAGGCAGCAGUGGGGAAUAUUGCACAAUGGGCGGAAGCCUGAUGCAGCCAUGCCGCGUGUAUGAAGAAGGCCUUCGGGUUGUAAAGUACUUUCAGCAGUGAGGAAGGGAUGUAGAUUAAUACUCUGCAUUCUUGACGUUAGCUGCAGAAGAAGCACCGGCUAACUCCGUGCCAGCAGCCGCGGUAAUACGGAGGGUGCGAGCGUUAAUCGGAAUUACUGGGCGUAAAGCGCAUGCAGGUGGUUUGUUAAGUCAGAUGUGAAAGCCCGGGGCUCAACCUCGGAAUAGCAUUUGAAACUGGCAUACUAGAGUACUGUAGAGGGGGGUAGAAUUUCAGGUGUAGCGGUGAAAUGCGUAGAGAUCUGAAGGAAUACCAGUGGCGAAGGCGGCCCCCUGGACAGAUACUGACACUCAGAUGCGAAAGCGUGGGGAG